rnacentral:rRNA from 1 species
AUUGAACGCUGGCGGCAGGCCUAACACAUGCAAGUCGAGCGGAUGAAGGGAGCUUGCUCCUGGAUUCAGCGGCGGACGGGUGAGUAAUGCCUAGGAAUCUGCCUGGUAGUGGGGGAUAACGUCCGGAAACGGGCGCUAAUACCGCAUACGUCCUGAUGGAGAAAGUGGGGGAUCUUCGGACCUCACGCUAUCAGAUGAGCCUAGGUCGGAUUAGCUAGUUGGUGGGGUAAAGGCCUACCAAGGCGACGAUCCGUAACUGGUCUGAGAGGAUGAUCAGUCACACUGGAACUGAGACACGGUCCAGACUCCUACGGGAGGCAGCAGUGGGGAAUAUUAGACAAUGGGCGAAAGCCUGAUCCAGCCAUGCCGCGUGUGUGAAGAAGGUCUUCGGAUUGUAAAGCACUUUAAGUUGGGAGGAAGGGCAGUAAGUUAAUACCUUGCUGUUUUGACGUUACCAACAGAAUAAGCACCGGCUAACUUCGUG